rnacentral:lncRNA from 1 species
UUAUUGUUUCCGCUACAGUUGUUGAUCUAAAACUUGUUGUCUAUUGUAUUCUAACAGAUUUUUCCUUGUUGAGGACUAACAAUAAUUUGUUGUACAUUAUCUUAGUCAUAAUAUUCUUUACUGGGCUAGUUGAGCUCACCCUUUUCCUUUUUGUUCCAUUUUUCUUCUCAAGAGGUGAGAAUAUAACGGGAACUAGUCG